GGGGGCGAAAGGAUUCGACCAGGCAGUGAUUGUUAGGAGUGGCGCACUGAGGUUGUCAGGAGGCCUCAUAAAACACCUGACAAAACAAUAAACGCAGACGCGAACUAUGCACUUGCUGCUUAAGAAAAAGCAGCACCAUCUUCAGGUCCUUGCCUGCGGGACUUGAAAGAUGGCAGACCAGCAGGCUGAGCUUUCGCCUGUGGCCUUUGGGGGCGAAAGCGAAAACCUUCCAGAGGCUCGGCGAUUUUCAUCCUGUCUAUUGGAGGGAAAUCGCUUAAAUCCAAAAAAUAGACUAUGUGCGUAGAAGCUUCUAGCAAGCUGACUUGGGACGCGGGUUCGAUUCCCGCCGCCUCCAUUU
rnacentral:tmRNA from 1 species